UACAGAGGUCUCAAGCGUUGUUCGGAUUCAUUGGGCGUAAAGCGCGCGUAGGUGGCCAUGUAAGUCCGCUGUGAAAGUCAAAGGCUCAACCUUUGAAAGCCGGUGGAUACUGCAUGGCUAGAGUACGGAAGAGGCGAGUGGAAUUCCUGGUGUAGCGGUGGAAUGCGCAGAUAUCAGGAGGAACACCAAUAGCGAAGGCAGCUCGCUGGGACGUUACUGACACUGAGGCGCGAAAGCGUGGGGAGCGAACAGG
rnacentral:rRNA from 1 species